UGGAGCCCCGGAUGGGAGCCUCGGUGCUCGCCGCCGAGUGCAAUUGGUUUGGAGGGAUUGCGGAGGCUGGAGUUGGGCAAGGGUCGAUCCGAGGUGACAUGAGCACCAGGAGGAAGCCAUGGCAGUGGAAGUCUGGGCGGUAGGCUCCGGGGACCUGCUGAUGCCUUCGGUUUUCGGGUGUCUUCAUGCUUUGAGGACGACACCUUUGGGUUCUGGCUUGUUUGUUACAGAGGCCCUCCUCGGAUCUCCUUUCGAAGCCCUGUCUCAUUUUGCGGCCUUUUCCUGAUGUUGUGGGGAACAUACUCAACACUAGGCUUCCCCCAGGCACAGAUCCUCUUCUGACAACAAACUUCCAACUUCCUGCCCAGCUGCUGGAGAUCUGAACUCCAGUCCUCAUGCUCAAGAAUCACAGUCCACUGAGCUAUCUCCACAGCAGCGUUGAACACCACCAUCCUCUUACAGCUCUCCAGGACACUGACUGCAGUGGUAACAUCCCGAACGAUGCUGUUUUCCUAUUGCUAGUCGGAGUCUGUCAGUGCAGUGGGUUAUAGGGACCAGACAGUAGACAGGUAUUCUAGAACGGCCUGAGAGACAUGCUGGCAUGCCUACUCUCUAUUUUGUGACUUAAAGGCCCCAUCAGACAGAAUACUGAAGAUGCAGUUAUUUGUGAUUAAUAAUUUAUUAGUUGCCAUCUGUGAAUUAAGAGCCCUGAAUUUGAGGCUGAGGCUAUAGCUCAGUUCAGUGUGCUUGUCUAGCACACACGAAACCUUGUAAUUCUAGCACCAACAAACAAGCAAACAAUACAACACACACACACACACACACACACACACACACACACACACACCACACACACACACACAUAAGGCAGUAAUAUUGGAGGCCAGAAGAAGGCGUCAGAUCACCUGGAGGAGAGAGGGAGAGAGAGGAGGUGUGGGGGAGACAGACAGACAGACACAGAGAGCCAUCCCUCUGGUUCUAUUCUUGGACAAGGCAUUUCCCCUCUCCACAGGUCCAGUCCUUUGUUGUAAAAUUAGUUUGUUUCUACUAAAUCUCUAUGUUCUUUCUAAUUCUUUUUUGUUUGUUUUGUUGUUGUUUGUUUGUUUGUUUUUGUUUGUGAGACAGACAUAGUUCCUCUAUGUAGUUUUGGUGCCUGUCCUGGAUCUUGCUCUGUAGACCAGGCUGGCCUCGAACUCACAGAGAUCCACCUGGCUCUGCCUCCCGAGUGCUGGGAUUAAAAGCUUGUGCUACCACCCGGUUGUUCUUUCUAAUUCUAAGAUCAGAAUUUUAUAAACUUAGGGACUGUAUUAAGGAUUGUUCCCCCUAGAGCUAAAAAUGAAAUCCAGGACCUCUCUACCACUGAGCUAAAUCCAAAACCCCAAGGAUUUUUUUUUUUAAGUCAGGCUCUGGUGUAGCCCAGGCUGGCCUUAAAACUUGCUGUAUUAGCCGGGCGUUGGUGGCGCAGC